GACGAACGCUGGCGGCGUGCUUAACACAUGCAAGUCGAACGGAAAGGCCCUGCUUUUGUGGGGUGCUCGAGUGGCGAACGGGUGAGUAACACGUGAGUAACCUGCCCUUGACUUUGGGAUAACUUCAGGAAACUGGGGCUAAUACCGGAUAGGAGCUCCUGCUGCAUGGUGGGGGUUGGAAAGUUUCGGCGGGUGGGGAUGGACUCGCGGCUUAUCAGCUUGUUGGUGGGGUAGUGGCUUACCAAGGCUUUGACGGGUAGCCGGCCUGAGAGGGUGACCGGCCACAUUGGGACUGAGAUACGGACCAGACUCCUACGGGAGGCAACAGGGGGGAAUAUUGCCCAAUGGGCGGAAGCCUGAUGCAACAACGCCGCGUGCGGGAUGACGGCCUUCGGGGUGUAAAACGCUUUCGCCUGUGACGAAGCGUGAGUGACGGUAAUGGGUAAAGAAGCACCGGCUAACUACGUG
rnacentral:rRNA from 1 species